GACGAACGCUUGCGGCGUGCUUAACACAUGCAAGUCGAACGGAAAGGCCCUGCUUUUGUGGGGUGCUCGAGUGGCGAACGGGUGAGUAACACGUGAGUAACCUGCCCUUGACUUUGGGAUAACUUCAGGAAACUGGGGCUAAUACCGGAUAGGAGCUCCUGCUGCAUGGUGGGGGUUGGAAAGUUUCGGCGGUUGGGGAUGGACUCGCGGCUUAUCAGCUUGUUGGUGGGGUAGUGGCUUACCAAGGCUUUGACGGGUAGCCGGCCUGAGAGGGUGACCGGCCACAUUGGGACUGAGAUACGGCCCAGACUCCUACGGGAGGCAGCAGUGGGGAAUAUUGCACAAUGGGCGGAAGCCUGAUGCAGCAACGCCGCGUGCGGGAUGACGGCCUUCGGGUUGUAAACCGCUUUCGCCUGUGACGAAGCGUGAGUGACGGUAAUGGGUAAAGAAGCACCGGCUAACUACGUGCCAGCAGCCGCGGUGAUACGUAGGGUGCGAGCGUUGUCCGGAUUUAUUGGGCGUAAAGGGCUCGUAGGUGGUUGAUCGCGUCGGAAGUGUAAUCUUGGGGCUUAACCCUGAGCGUGCUUUCGAUACGGGUUGACUUGAGGAAGGUAGGGGAGAAUGGAAUUCCUGGUGGAGCGGUGGAAUGCGCAGAUAUCAGGAGGAACACCAGUGGCGAAGGCGGUCCUCUGGGCCUUUCCUGACGCUGAGGAGCGAAAGCGUGGGGAGCGAACAGGCUUAGAUACCCUGGUAGUCCACGCUGUAAACGGUGGGUACUAGGUGUGGGGUCCAUUCCACGGGUUCCGUGCCGUAGCUAACGCUUUAAGUACCCCGCCUGGGGAGUACGGCCGCAAGGCUAAAACUCAAAGGAAUUGACGGGGCCCCGCACAAGCGGCGGAGCAUGCGGAUUAAUUCGAUGCAACGCGUAGAACCUUACCUGGGUUUGACAUGGAUCGGGAGUGCUCAGAGAUGGGUGUGCCUCUUUUGGGGUCGGUUCACAGGUGGUGCAUGGCUGUCGUCAGCUCGUGUCGUGAGAUGUUGGGUUAAGUCCCGCAACGAGCGCAACCCUUGUUCACUGUUGCCAGCACGUUAUGGUGGGGACUCAGUGGAGACCGCCGGGGUCAACUCGGAGGAAGGUGGGGAUGACGUCAAGUCAUCAUGCCCCUUAUGUCCAGGGCUUCACGCAUGCUACAAUGGCUGGUACAGAGAGUGGCGAGCCUGUGAGGGUGAGCGAAUCUCGGAAAGCCGGUCUCAGUUCGGAUUGGGGUCUGCAACUCGACCUCAUGAAGUCGGAGUCGCUAGUAAUCGCAGAUCAGCAACGCUGCGGUGAAUACGUUCCCGGG
rnacentral:rRNA from 1 species